UUCUUGUCAACAGCACCGGCUCCGGCUUCCUUGGGGAGCUUCUUCCCGGCCUUUGGCUUCUUCUCAGCAGGGGCUUUCUCAGCUGGUUUCUUCUCCUCCACUGGCUUCUUCUCAGCCGGCUUCUUCUCUGCCUUUGGCGCCAUUGUAGGGACUUUGGUUUGUAAAGAAAGAGUGAUGUUCUAAAAAGAGAGAGAUGAUUGUUGUUCGUUGUGAUAAUGAAUGGAGGGAGAGUUGUGUUUAUAUACGGAAUGUGAGGCGUGAUCUGAUUGGAUGAUUUCUGUUGUCGGGGAUCGUGGAUUAUGGCCGUUGAUUUCUUUUGAGUAGUUUCAGCGGACAGGAUUUAGUUUUCUAAAAGUGAGGAUGAUGCUGGUUUUGAGGCCCUUUGAUGAAUUUAAGGUAGAAUAAAUUACAAUUUAGGUCCAUGUGUUUUACAUUAUUUAUAGUUUGAGCCAAAUAUUUAAAAAAUAAUGCGCCUCAUAUCUAUGGUUUGAAAAAAAAUGCAUUUAUUGUAUCUUGGAUUAACAUGGUGAAUUCUCAGUUUAAUGCUUGUUUGUUAUUUUGAUAUUGUUCAUAAUUUUAGGGGACUAUUUGUAUAAAAAACUCUUAGACAUAUGCUCAAGUUAAAUUAUAAAUUAAAGUUAGAGGGAUUAAAAUUGCAACUUUUAAGAAAUUUACUUUGACCUUGCUUCGACUUAUGUUAGGAACCAAAAAAUUAAGAAAUUAGUUAGCCGGUGUUAAUUUGGUAAGAUCGGUAAAGAUGUGUGAUCAUUUAAUGGUUAGAUACUUAAAUAUAAGAAGUGGAAGUUUAGGUGUUUAUCGUGUUAAUUUGUCGUAGUUUAGACAUAAGCUUUCUUCUUCCCUCUCAUUUUGAAUGUAACGACUUUGGAGUUCUUGGGGAUACGAGAAGCGGCGAUUUUGAGCUUGUGGAAGGAUAAUGUAUAUCACGACUUUGUUGUUAGCUCAUCAUAAAAAUACAUUUUUCUAUCUCAAAUCAUGUUUAUUAGUUAGUCCAUAAUCUAAUAAUAGUGACUUCAAAUUUGUCAUUUGAUUGAUUUCAAACUUAUGAUGAAUUUAUGGAGUUAAUUUUAGCAUUUUGAAUAUAGAUUACAGUUUGAAUGGAUUUGAAUUGUGGAUCAUCAAUCUAAAUUCUAUAUUAUAGUUUAAGAUCAUCAAAUUGAAUCAAUAUGUGGAGAUCUAGUUGCACUUGUGGUCAUUUAAGCAUUUAAGUGGAACUUAUGAAUUUUUUGAAAAAUGCAAAACUAAAACCUUUAGAUCUCCUGUACUUACAAAACAUAGUUUAGAUGGGUGAAAUUAGAUUUUAAACAUGUUUUGAAUGUUACUUGUCAUCCUCGGUGAUUACAAGUGGAUUUGGAAUGUUUUUAGUCAAGUUGAACGGUUGUUUUUUAAGAUCUUUGUUCGAACAUAAAGUGUUAGAUGUGUAUUUCACAACCUAUAGAAGCAUGGGUCCUAUUUUUCUUUGGUGGUUUUUUUUUUUUGAACCAGCAAACUAACAUACUCCUAAAACCACCUAUGUCUCUUAAUGAGACUUGAAUAAUGACCUCUUAUUUGAGAGUGUCACCCCUUACCGUUAGGCCAAAGUUCAUUUGGUUCUUUGGUGGCUAUAACAUUUUCUUUCUUAGUCCGUUAAAAAUGAGAUUGUAAACAUAAAUGGUGAUUAAUAUGUUUAAUUAGUGGUUAAUCACUUGUUUAAAAUUAGUUUUUAUAUGACCACUUGCUAAUCUUUCAACACACAAGAGUGAAGUGGUGCCCAUAUACUUUCUAAUGUGAGGUAUGCCAAGAGUGUAUGUGCUUAAAGGUAAAUUGGUCAUUUUGUUUUAUUGAUUUAACAUGUAAAAUGGUUUCCGACCACCAAGUGUGGCACUUGUGUGAUUUUCAAAGGUGAUGGGUUUUUGGACAAUCCUCAUACGCAAAAAGGAUUUGUGACCACCAUAUGUGGCCCUUGUGUGAUUUUUCAUAAAUGUAUUAUGUUUGGUUUGAACUACAACUUACAUUGAAUGUGUAUGAGGUUCUUUGUGUCUACUAUACAUAAGCCUUAACUUUAGAACGGACGUUGAAAGUGUACCAUGUGGAAUGAGUCACCGUACAUCAGCCCUAACUACAACUUCAUUAUGAGAUUGGACCUUGAGAUUUAAUAGGUUUUGGGAAUAGAAUUAUAUGCUUUGCUUAAUUGAAAUUGUUAAAUGUGAAUUUGGUUUGUUUGCCUUUAAAGUGCUUUAUUCCCUGAAUUUUUUUUACUUUAAACUAUUGAAUUAUUGGUCUAUUGAACCGUUGACUUGUAUAAUAAGCUAUUGAAUCACUUAUUAUUGAAUCAUUGGUGGUUGUUAAAGUCAACAAAUAAAUACCAUAAAUCUUGUACACUAAAAUAGCGCAUAACUGUAAAGGAAUCGAAUCCACGAGAAUUUGUUCAAUUUGUAACAAUAUAAAAUUUUUUUUGCAAAAAAUACUUGUAAAACGACAGUACAAUUAAAAAUUGGGAUUUUAGUAUUUUGAUUGCUUAAAAACAUAAGUAAACUAACACAAGACUUAAUGCAAUUUAAACAAAUAAAAUUGAUGUAAAUCAAUGUUGAGAUAAUGUUUGACAUUGGAAUUUCAUCAUUUGAACAUUUAGUUAAUAAAUCAUUGGACUUCAAAAUGCAAUAUUUGUAAUGGCCCCGAUCACCUCUUUAAUCAUACAAGGCCAAAAUGUUUGCCUAACUAUUCAAAUCCAUAAGCCUAAUGUUGCUUAAUUAUUCAAAUCCUUAAGCCCAAUGUGGCUUCCAUCUUCCAUUCAAGAUCAACUAGCCCAUAAGUUCUAGUUUUAACUGUUUCCAUCCUCCAUAUACACAGCCCCUUGUUCAAAUCUUCAUAACCACUUGGUUUCCUUCUUUCUCAUAAUUGUCCUCACUUUGCGUGAGCCUUCUAGAAAUAUCAAAUUAAGCACAAAAACUUGAAAGUACAUGAUUUAGACAGAAAACAGCAAAAAGUAAAAUAUGCAUGGAGAUUAACUAAAAAUAAGGCAAAAUAUGUUAAAAUAAACUAUAAAAGAUACACCUAUCAACCAUUAAUUUUUUUAAUCUUUUAAAAUAUCGAACAUAUUGCACCUUAGAUGGUUUGAAGUUAUUUUUUAGGGUUUGACUUUAAGUGUAGGUUAUUACCCUUGUCAAACACUUUUUAAAUGUUUUUUUUGCGGGUUUACUUAAAGUUUAGACAAGUUUAGAUUUUAGGUAUUGAGAAGACAUUGUAAAUUUGAAAUGUAAAGGUUGUAUGUUCUUACUUUAAAGUAUAUCUUUUGAUUGUGUUUUGUUAAAUCUUUGUAUGAUUUGACACGGUUUAAAAGGUUAUUACCAUAAAAUCCAUUUUUACAUAUUGAUUAUAAAUUAACCUUAAAUGGAUUUUUUUGUUUUGAAGUAACCAUUAUUUAGCCCUAAAUGGACUUUUGUCUUGAACCAUGCUAGUCGGUUUCACCAAUUUCAGCAGGUUACCCCUUGCAUGUAAUUUCUUUCGAUAAAUUAUAACUUACGCAUACAAGUUCCAUUUUCGACGUUUUUUAUAUCAACAGUUUCGUAACUCCGAGUACUACAACUUACCUUUAGAUCUUAACAAAUAAUUUGCAACCUUUUUUACUUUAUAUUUUAUAAAGAGUAACAGUAAAAGAUCUUUCGAAAUUCAUCUUCAUACGAGUUUCGUUCUCGACAUUUUUUAUAUACAUGGUUUCUUAAUUACGUGGACAUCAACUUUCCUUUACAUUACUUUUGUUACAAGGUAAUUAAUGUAUGUUUCAUAUUUUAUAGUAAAUAUUGGCGUAGUACGUUGUAAUGCGUAACUUCGAAAAAUCAUAACAUUUAUAUGACGUCAGAUUUUGACGAUCUUUAUACUCAUAGGUUUGUAUUUACGACUACUACAACUUUCAUGUAGAUUAUUUAUUUAAAAUAAUCUUUCGAUUAUAAAGUUUAUUUUAACAUAAUUUGUUAAGUUUAUGAUANNNNNNNNNNNNNNNNNNNNNNNNNNNNNNNNNNNNNNNNNNNNNNNNNNNNNNNNNNNNNNNNNNNNNNNNNNNNNNNNGUACGUAAAAUUCUUAUUUAUUUAUUUAUUUAUAAGAGAAUUUACAUUAUUAAGUAAAAUAAAUAUGGCUCUUCUACGAACUGUUUAAUAAAAAACAAGGGCGUUACAAUUAUUACCCACUUAAGAUGAUUUAUUCAUGUAAUCAUGCAUCAGUAAACAAUUAUGGAUAACGAAUAUUCAUGUCGUUUUUUGUUUCCUAAGUAAGGUUUAGCCCUAAUGUAUUCAAUCUCUUAUUUCAUAGAAUCUUCAAGAGUUAACAAUGGAGUCAUGCUUUGUUCUUUCCUUGCACGAUAAUGCCCACUCUUUCCAUAUUUGGAGCAUGUUACAUUAAUGAUACAUUUGCCAUGUUGUUUCUUUUCACACUUUUCAUACCAUUUCCUUUAUAUAUGUUGUCACUGGAGUCUAACUUGGGAAAGUUAUUAUUUUGUUGGACCCAAAUGAUCCAUCAAACUUCCUCUUCUCGUCGUUUACCACUUUUUCGAUAGUCCUCCCCUUAAUCAUACUAUCUACAAAAUUUGCAACCCAGAUGAAUGCAACAAUAGUGUUGGUAUGAUGUAUUGGCACAAAGUACUCGCAUGAUAGUCCCUUUCCAUACCUAUCGACUUUUGAUAGUUAAUCAUGAUGUGUGCUAGAUUUGAUUACAAACACAAUAGAUUCAAGAAAAACAAUUAAGAACAUAAUAAAUAUAAUUUGGUUGACUCGUAUUAUGUCUGAAGAUAGUACAAAGUUUCGAGAGUGUUUUACAAUGAACAGUGCAUAAAAGUUACCCUCAACUAGGGGUGUUGAUCGGGUAAAAUUUUCGGGUUUCGGGUAAUUCAGAUCUGGUAAUUCAAGUUUUUCAUGUUAAAAAAAUACCGGUUACCCGAACCAAAUUAAAUUCGAGUAAUUCGGGUUUAGUAAUGGUAGUGGCUCGGGUUUGGGUAAUUUGGGUAUUACNNNNNNNNNNNNNNNNNNNNNNNNNNNNNNNNNNNNNNNNNNNNNNNNNNNNNNNNNNNNNNNNNNNNNNNNNNNNNNNNNNNNNNNNNNNNNNNNNNNNNNNNNNNNNNNNNNNNNNNNNNNNNNNNNNNNNNNNNNNNNNNNNNNNNNNNNNNNNNNNNNNNNNNNNNNNNGAAUGACACCUGAAAAUAAAUUUAAUGAAAUAAAUAUGUCGUUCUCUAUUAGUCUUGUUUAUAUAACCAAACGAGACAUAAACGAAGUUACUCAAAUUUUGAACAUUGAGAUUUUUUAGUCGAUAAUACUUGAGAUAUCAAGUAAUCUUUUAACAACUUAAUCUAAUCUAAUAAGAUAUUCAAAAACAAAUACUUAAAGAUCUUAGUUUAAAAUGUUUAAGAUAAUUGUAGUCAUAAGUUUUGCCAUGUUCUGAAGUUUCGUCAAGAUAAUGAAAUUGUUAGUUGCAAUAAAAACUAUAAUCUAGAAAACAGUUAAGUUUCAAAGAACAUGGUGACAUAUAAACAAUUUCUUUUAAUAUUGUCGGUGUCAUACUGCCAUAAUAAAAGAGAUUCAUGUUUUAGAAUAAUGAUAGUUAGUUUGAGCGUCAAAUAUCUACUACAGAGUACAAGCUCUACGAAAGAAAAGAAAAAAAUAAAAUAAUUUUGGUAUACCCGAAACCCAACAAACGUACCCCAUACCGACCUGAAAAAAUAUUGGGUUACCUGAAUACCUAGAAAAUUAUACCGAUGUCCGAUUAACCCGACCUGAUUUACCCGAUACCCGAAAAAAUCGGGCGGGUAAUUCGAGUAUCGGGCAUUUUCGACAAUGUUACCCUCUACUCUAGUACUUACCCUAUUUAUAAGGUACAACAGACUCAACAAAAAAUACAAGGACUAAACUUUCUAGUUUCGAAUACAAACAGUGUCUUGUAACUAUAUAGAGAGUCGAAAUCAUUUGGAUUUCGACUCCUUACAGACUUAUAUCAUUUCAACUCCUCACUAUAUACAUUUUCGACCCUUACAAUCUCCCCCUUAGUGAGAGUAGUCAGAAUUAUGCCAUAAGCUUUAAAGUCUAAAGAAGUACAUUACAAGUCUCCAUAUACCACAAGGUAGUCUUUCAAAUCUCUGCUUUGUCUUCAACUUCAUUCUUCUUGCACUUGUUAAUUCGAACAAGGUGAUUGGUAUACUGAGAAUUCAUACACCUCUCUAAAUCACUUACUUGAGACAAAAAAAAUUCGCCAUCCUCCCAUUCUUGUUCUUCCCUCGAAACAUGACCCUAAGAGGCUGAUGAAUUAUCUCACCAUCUUCAUACUUAUCAAUAUUAAUAUUUCCAUUAAGCAAAGAUUGAGGGACUUUCUAAGGCCUUUUUACCGCUAAAGCAAGCUUAAUAUCCAUGACUGCCAAGUAAUCAUAGUAGUUGUAUAUGAAAACCUUGAUAUGAGCAAUACCAAUGAUGAAAUCAUCCUUGUUGGUUUCAGGUAGCUUUGAAACAUCCAUAUUACUCAAAAUCCUUGUGAUUGUAAUCAAGUCGUUUAAGUUGAUCAGUGGGGAAUCUGCAAUUGAGAACUCACAAGUAACAUUGUUCACUCUUAAGACCACAUAGCGAAAAUUUUGCAGAAGACCUUCGAACAAGUUGUCAUACAUUAUGGUCAUCACCUUCACUAUCUUCACAAGUGACCAUACUUCUUAUAUGCUUUUCCCUAAGAUUGCAUGGAAACGGGUCUUCAUUCUUUUGAACUCAUAUUUAUCAUUGAAAUUUUCAACAGUAUUAAACCGACAGGAUGUGAAUAACAUGUGGUUGAUCGAGAAAUCACGUUGAUUGAAAUCAGAAUUCUCAAUAUCAUAAUUCUUCUAAGGCACCUUAUGAAAGUAAUCAUUCAACCCAAUCAAAACAAUAUCCUCAAUCGUUUCAUAACCCCACUGCUUGUUGGGAUCACACUUGUUCAAGCCAGGUGGGUCAUUUUGCCGUCGCCUCAUGAUAUUGUUAUCUACCUUUGCUUCUCGAUUUCAAGAGCUUGUUGCUUUUUUUUCUUCUUCAGAUAAAUCAACAGAAAUAGCUUUUCCUUUAUUAUUCUGAUCAUCAUUUCUCGAUUUCAAGAGCUUGUUGCUUUUUUUUCUUCUUCAGAUAAAACAACAGAAAUAGCUUUUCCUUUAUUACUCUUAUCAUCAUUUGAAGUACUGAACUUGAACUCGAAUCUCCAGCUCCUUUGUUUAUUGAGAUCCAUUUUACCAAUGCUCUUGUAGUUGUUGUUGUUGUAGAAGUUGUGGUCAAUUAUAUGGGAAGUGAAGACCUUUCGACAACAGCAGCAACCACGACGUCGACCUUGCUCUUCUGAUUUCUAAAUUGUUGUGAGGUCGUCCAGAGGUUCUCGUUGGUCCUUGCUACCGCCAACAACAAAGGUUCACCGGUGGUAUUGGCUGACCGGAAUCUCUUAUGUUAUCGUACUUACAAAUUUUUCAUAUGGUCUUACAAAACAUUGAAUCUGAGGAAUUUAGAUUCCGUCCAUUACACAUACACUAUGGAAUUGAAUCUCACAUUCCAAUUAUGACCGAUGAACCAAACACAUCCUAAGGUUUUGAAUCAAAUUCCUUACCGUUGGAAUCCAUCAAACAUGGAAUUUAAAGGAAUAUGACAAAAAUGAAUUCCAACCAUUUGAUACUGGAAUGGAAUCUCAAAUUCCAAUUCCAUCAGAUGAAUCAAACAUGCCCUAAGUCAAAUUUCUGCCCCUAACAUUGGAUGACAUGUGCAAUAAAAAGAAGGGGAAUUGCAUUAAACAAGACUCGUCCAAGGGAACCGGCCACAAUCAAAGCAGAACUGGGUAUCGACAAUCAACAAUGUCAUCCAAUCCACCAAUAAAAAAAAACACAAACUUAUAACUCCUAAAAAAUAAAGAAAAAUAUCAUUAGAUACAAUAAAUUAAACAUAUGUAACAUCAUCAAUCAUGUAUUUAGGUAGUGUUUGAUAUCAUGAAACUUGAGCAGGAAAGCAAUCCAAUAAAUAAAUAACUGCCUAUUGUCUGAUAGAAUGGAAUCGAAUGUUCUACUCAGAUGAACAUGGUUUAAAAUCAAACAUAAAACAAAACAAUUGAUUCUUGCCAUGAUGAUGAACUGUAUGAAUCUCAAACAAAAAAUCAUUCACUCCUGAAACCCAAAGUAAGAUAUCAAAUUGAACCCAUAAAAAAUCUAUAAACAUAAACAUUCCAAAUACAAACCCCGAAAGUCAAGAAAUUCUAAGCUUUUGAUGUAAAACAAUAAUCUGCAGCUCGAUGUUCUUUGUCUUCCAUCAAAAAAGACGUACAUGGAUUAAAAUCCCUCAUCAAGGAAACGAGAGUAUCUCGGGUUCAGUAUUUAGAUUCAAUGAUGGUGAAGAGUGACGGAUGGUUAUUGUGGUUAAGGAGGGUGGUGUUGGUGGUGUAUCAUUUUCGAGCAUGCACAUCACAACAAUAAGAACAUCAGCCAAUUUAAGUUUUUUGGACUGAAAUGUUGUAAAUAUUUGUAACAUAAACCACAGACAAUUAAAACAAACCCACUCAACCGGAUUCAAAUGUUUAACAACACUAUAUAACCAAGUCCAAUUCAUUGAUACCGACAUAAUUCAUCGAGAAAGAUGAAAUUUUCACAAUAAGCAAACCCUAACACUGAACAUCGAUACAAACCCUAAACCCCCAAAUCUAAGAGCUGGUAAAUUUGGUUACAGCUUUCGUCCCCUCGGAAACGGCGUGCUUUGCCAACUCCCCGGGCAAAACCAAUCUCACCGCCGUCUGAAUUUCCCUGGAUGUGAUCGUCGGCUUCUUGUUGUACCUCGCAAGCUUCGAAGAUUCCUGAGCAAGCUUCUCGAAGAUGUCGUUGAUGAACGAGUUCAUGAUCCCCAUGGCCUUGCUUGAGAUACCGAUGUCAGGGUGAACCUGUUUCAGCACCUUGAAGAUGUAGAUCUUGUAUGUCUCCACACUCUUCUUGUUUCUCUUCUUCUUCUUGUCAACAGCACCGGCGCCGGCCUCCUUGGGGAGCUUCUUCCCGGCCUUUGGCUUCUUCUCAGCAGGGGCUUUCUCAGCUGGUUUCUUCUCCUCCACUGGCUUCUUCUCAGCCGGCUUCUUCUCUGCCUUUGGCGCCAUUGUAGGGAUUUUAGUUUGUAAAGAAAGAGUGAUGUUCUAAAAACAGAGAGAUGAUUGUUGUUCGUUGUGAUAAGGAAUGGAGGGAGAGUUGUGUUUAUAUACGGAAUGUGAGGCGUGAUCUGAUUGGAUGAUUUUUGUUGACGAGGAUCGUGGAUUAUGGCCGUUGAUUUCUUUUGAGUAGUUUCAGCGGACAGGAUUUAGUUUUCUAAAAGUGAGGUUGAUGCUGGUUUUGACGCGGAUCGACGUACUGGACGCUGAUGAAUUUAAGGAAGAGUAAAUUACAAUGUAGGUCCAUGUGUUUUACAUAAUUUAUUUAUUAGGUAUGAGAUUUAUAUAAUGUGUUUUACAUAAUUUAUUUAUUAGGUAUGAGAUUUAUAUAUUAUAUGGGUUUGUUUAAAGUAAUAUUAAAUAAAAAAUUCUAAGUUUGUGUUUAGUUAAGAAAAACUGUUUUUAUUUUUCGUUUUUCGUUUUUAGUUUCUGGUUUUUAUUGGAAAAUUUAGAAAACAUGUUUAGUUAAAACUUAUUCAUUUUUUAUUUUCAAAUUUAGAAAAUUAGAAAACGUGUUUAGAUGUGUAUUUUUCUAUCGGUUUUCAUUUUUAGAAAACGGUAGCGNNNNNNNNNNNNNNNNNNNNNNNNNNNNNNNNNNNNNNNNNNNNNNNNNNNNNNNNNNNNNNNNNNNNNNNNNNNNNNNNNNNNNNNNNNNNNNNNNNNNNNNNNNNNNNNNNNNNNNNUGGUGGUGGCGGCGACAAUUGUGGCAGUGGUGCUGAUGGCGGCGACGGUGGUGGUGUAACGGGGUAGUGAUAGGGUAGUAGUAGUGGUAAUGGUGCUGGUAAUGGUAGGUCAGUGAUUGUGGUAGUGGUGUUGGGUGGUUGUAUGUGUAUGGGUGUGGGUCGGAGGUAGGUGUGGGUUUGAGUUUGUGGGUGUGUGUUUGUAGGAGUUGGUGUGUGUGUUUGUGUGUGUGUGUGUGUUUAUGGAGGUUGGUGUGUGUGUGUUUUUAUGGAGGUUGGUGUGUGUGUGUGGAGGUUGGGUCCAUGAAAAUUUUAGAAAAAAUGGACGAACUAAACGCGUUUUUCAAAAUUCUCAUUUUUUUGAAAUUUUUCCGGAAAACGGGUCAUUUUUCCGCAACAAAACACACCCUAUACAUUUAGGGUUUGGUCAAGUUGUGGAGUUUGGAGGCCAUGGAGGGGUAAAAUUGUAUUUUACCCUCUUGGGGUCUAGUAAAGAGACUUAGCCAACAUCUUUGAGGUUUGUUGAUAUCGAUUCUAAUUAGAGAUAUAUGUAACAUAUGUUAGGCGGAGUCUAGACCGGUAGUUUGGGCAUGGGAUUUACUUGCUUUGCUUCACGAGGCGAGUCUUCUCACUAUACUUACCUGAGUGGUAAUUUAUGCAUGACCGGAGGGUCUUGAUCAUGUUACUGACCGGAAGGUCUUAUUCGUGUUAUUGACCGGAUGGUCUUAUUUGCUUAUUCUGAGUUAUGUGUUGUUAUGCAUAUUGUCUUUGUGACUUAUGUUGUUAUAUUAUUUUUUUUAUAUGUUGAGCUAUGACCGGAGGGUCCGUACCGAGAUGUGAGACCGGAGGGUCUUCGCUGAGACACAUGACCGAAGGGUUCGUAUCGAGAUAUAGACAUAAGAGGCUAAUUAUUGUAUAUGUGGUAUCUUAGUGACUCAUUAAGCUUCGUGGUUACAGUGUCCGUGGUUCCAUAUGUAAGCACCUAAUCUCAGGGAUUAAGGCAUUUUUUUCAGGAUCCAACCCUUCAAGACGAAAACCUGGCCUCCAUGGAUGAUUAGGAUCCAGUUUACGUGCUUGAGUACCUAGUUUUUGGUUUUUGGUUUUUGGUUUUUGGUGGAGCUUGAGGAAGAAGAAAUAUCAUUUUGGUGCAAAGGACCAGCUUGGAAUCACCAUCUCCUUCAGAUUUAUGAGUUGUGUGAGGUAUAAAGCUCCCAUCUUGACCUUUGUUCUUCUUGAUGCUACUUUAAAUUGGUUUUGUAUGAUUUUGGUCCCUUUAUUGGAAGAUCUUGGAGCCUGAAGAACUCCAGAUCUUGUGAUGGAUUUCUAAGGUCUUUAGGAUUAUGAUGAAUAAUAAAAAGAUUCAUGGUUGGAGUUACUUUGUGUCCAUGUUCGAGGUUUGGCCUCGUUUAGGACUUAAUGGAUUUAGAACUGUAGUUCUUGCCUUGUGGUGGAUAAAGUUGAAAACUUUAUCCAUUAAGUCAUUGAAAAAUGACUAGAUCUAAAGUUAUGGGUUUAGAUCAGGAAGGAUUAAGCUCUUAAUGAAUAAUAUGGCCUUCUUCCGGGAACCACAACGUGGCAAAGGGCAUUUCACAUCGCAGUGGAGUCAUACACGUCAACUGUUUUAUCCUAUUAUGCCUAUGACGUGGACAUGAGGUCUCUACGUCAUGAUGACUAUUUCUCCAUACCGUGGUGAGUGUCUCUCCACGCCGUGGUGAGUGUUGACUUGUUUGACCGUUGAUUGUUGACUUUUAACCAGUUUGAUUUAGGUAAAAAUUAAAGGUAUUGGGCUAUUGAUUAAGGAUCUAUCUUUUUUUGGUGCUAGUUGGUUCAUGGGACCAAUCAGUGCAAGGAAUAAGUGUGUUGUUGAGUUCCUUGGGUUUUCAAUUCACAUAGGAUAACUUCAUAAUUGGUUGGUUAUAUCUCUAGAGUGGGAUUACCUGUUCGAAUGACUAUCUUACCUCUUAUUACAUAUAGUUAUACAUUCCUUGGAGAUUUGUCGGUUGUGGCGUAGUGGUUUUUAUGACACACUAUAUGCGGUAGUGGAUUGUUAGACAUGUAGACUAGUGUAGAUAGUUUCAUGUGUGUAUGUGUUUGUUUAAUUGCUUUUUUGAUCUAUAUGUUACAUAUCGGGUGGUGGGUUGAGGGCUUGAGGCGAUCCCGCUUUAUGCAGUAUGCUGGGAUACCCGGACAAGCUAGUGGUGUGUUGUAGGUCGGGUGCAAACCAGUUGUAUGUUGUAGGUGUGGGAGGGGGACCAAUCGUGGAGUGGAGGCCCAUAAGAGUAGUCCAGGUGUAUUGUAGGCCUCGCGAGGCGGUCCAGUAAGACUGAAGGAUCGUGUGUGUAUGUAUUAUAUGUGUAUUGCGGUGUGUGGUAUUUUGGGGGAACUCACUAAGCUUUGAGUAACAGUUGUGGAUUAAAUGUUUUUAGGUACCAUUGGUGAUCGUGGGAAGGCGAAGACGUGACUGUACACUCAUCAACAACAUUGGAGAUUCCUUAUUUAUUACAUUACUCUGAUUUUCAAACAAAAAAUUGUAUUUUAGAACAGCUGAGUUUUCUUAACCAAGGUUUUAUGAAAAUGAUGUUUUACCUUAAUUAAAAAUGGGAAAACAUUGUUUGUGAAAAUAUGACAUUACAUUUUCAUGAACAAAGGAGCACCAAAUGGGGUCUGGAACAGUCGUCAAAAAACCAACGUUCACGGCGGUGCGUGGCCUACCGACGGCGUGUGAGGGCUAUUUUGGCCCUCAUUUGGGGUUGUUCUCGUCGACGGGAGGUGUUGUUGGAUAUUGGGAAUAUUGGGGGUGGUGUAGGGUUGCAUUUUGGUGGGGGAACGGGGCUUCCACAAUUGUGUUCGACAGCCCUUUUUCUUCGUCGGCAAGGAUACCAGAGAGAGAGAGAGAGAGAGAGGACUAGAAAAAAAGGGGAUUAGAGAGAGGAUGGGUUAGAUAUUGAAUGAAUAAAAAUCAUAUUUUAGGAAGAGUUAAUAGAGAUUUUUGGAGAUUUUGGAGUACAUCUCCAUGAUAUUCCAUGAUUCAUCAUGAUGUCAUCAGUCGUUGCCUUGAGUCUCGUGCCACUCAUCCGAACUCAUUUUCCAAAAGUGUUUUUAGAUUUUAUCAAAUUUGUUGAGUUUAGAAAUUCAAACAAAAUUCAAAUCUGAUACAUGGAACUAUGUGAAAACAACGUUUAAAGUUUCGCGCUUAUAAAGUUCCAAUCUGACUGUUUUCGUGAGUUUGCCUAACUCCAGAUUAAAAAUAUCACAACAAUGAAUUUAUAUAUUUGACCUAAUUUUGAGUUCAAAAACACGCUCGAAAACUAUUUACGAAAUGUGUAGCUAUCCCAACGAAGCAAUACAAUGUUCUAUUCCGAAAAAACCAGUUAAAUACUGAUUUUUCAACCUUAAAAAUGUCUUGACUACUUCGUAUGAACUAUGUUUUCGACAUUCUAUAUAUUCAUGUGGUCGUGAUAACAUAAUCUCUCCAAUCUACUGAUUAAUUGUUCCUAAGUACACUUUAUUUUUAGGUCAUUAACAAUACUUAUCUUUGUGAAUUGUUUUCUGUUUAAUAAUGAUUGUCAACUUUUUGAGCGAUUUGAACUUGAAGUAUUCCAUGCACAAUUAUGAGUAAUAUAACUUCCACUCCAUCCAAAAACAUAGAACACCAUACAAUAUGUCCUAUUAUACUAGAGUUUGUGGUGGUUUGAUCGACGAACUUUACAUUUUUUUACCAAUUGUUACACACGGGUUCAUAUUCACGACUAUUACAACUUUCAUAUAGAUUAUUUAUUCAAAAUAAUAUUUUAACUAUCAACGUUAUUCAACACAAUUUGAUAAGUUUAUAAUAGGGUUUUAUACAAAUAUUAUAUAAUCAUAAUAUUUAUCCAUAUAACUUGUACGUAUUAUAUACAUAUAUACAAAUAACAUUUAUACAAACAUAUAUCAUGUACAACGAAUUAUUAUUUAUUUAUUUAAAAGAAAUUUUAUGUUAUUAGCUUACAUAAAUAAUGUCCUACGAAAUGUUUAUCAAAAAAAUGUGGGCGUUACACCAUACCUCAUAUAUUUUCCAAACUUAUAAAGUUUCUCUACAAUGUUUGGAGCGUAGGCAACUCUCCAGUGGGAAACCAUCUCAGCUUGAUGGUAAAACCUAUCCAUAAAGUAAAUUUCAAUUUCCUCUAGCAUUGUAGGAAGUGGUUUUCUCGUCAUAUUAAUGAUCAUGGCAUUAAAGCACUAUGAUAUACCAUUCUCUAUUGCCUCACAAGGGAGGAUCAACUAGUUAUGGGGCUCUAAGCAAACCAAAAUUUUAGGACCCUUUGACAUUUACUAUACUUAAUGUUAUAAACCCUCAUCUUUUAUCUGGGCUUAGGAUCGACAAUAAUAAACUAAAAAGAUUAUACCGGUUGUCUUGAGAUUUGAGAAUAGAACUAGAAGAUAAAUGGAAAGCUCAAAUCUAGAAAACUGAAAACUCAAAUGCUGAAAUUCGUUCCAACCCGAUUCACUCACUGAUUGUAUAUUUUGUAAAUGUAAUAUGUUGUAAUCAAUGAAAAAUGUCAAUGGAAUAAAAAAUCACAUAACUAAAAAAAUAAAAACUGAAAAGUUAUAAGUAUUAACCUUAAUCAAGUAAUCAGAUGACAACAAAUAAUGGAAAAAUUAAAAACAAAAAGUCAAACAAAUUCCACAUACCGAUUCAGUGACAGCCUUGAAUCACCAGAAUUCAGAAAAUUUUGAACAAUGGAGUUAUCAAAACUUGUGGAGAAGCCAAGAAUGGAUAAGGAAAAGUGUUUCGGUGGUUCAGAUGUUCAAGAAUCGACAAGAAGAAGAGCAUAAUCGCUAAUCAGAGUCCGAUAAUUUUGUGCAGCCCCUGAGAAGAAGAGAACAGUGAUCGUCGCUUGUAGAAGAAGACUAAACAGAUUGUGAGGCGUGUGCAGCGAGCAACGAUUCAAUAGAUAUAGAUUGGAUUGGAUAUUUGGGUUAAGUGGGGCCUCUAUAAGUUGUGUCCCUAAGCCCUAACUUUAUUUAUAAACACAUAAAGUCAACCUUGUUGCCUUAAAAUCAUACCCAUGAGAAAAGAAUGUUUUACACCAAGAAUGUGGAUUAGACAUGAUCCGGUCAUAGCCAGUUUGAGUUAUGUGCUUGAUUUUCUCCAUUAUAGCUAUAAAUUCCCCCUCGACAAUACGGUUGGCAGCUUUCCAAAACAAGUUAUUUAGUUCUAAUCCACUAUAUCUCUUCCCGAAGUUUACAAUGAUGUGUGUAACACAUUGUUUGUGCUUAACAUGUGGAAGUAGUUCUAUAACAGCUUGUAAUAAACGAUGAAAUAUAAAAGGACAAUUAGAUUAUAAAUGCAUACUAAUUACAUUAAGGAUACAUUAAUAUUUACCUUGUGUUGGUAUGAAAAAGUAACAAGACCCCUACCACCACCAAUAUCCAAAUCAACAACUAAAAGUUCAAUAAACCAAGCCCAAUUAUCUUUGUUCUUGACAUCAAUCAUUACCUAUGCUAUUGGAUAUACAUGGUUGUUUGCAUCUCUUUAAAUAUUAGUCAAAAGCUCUCACAUGAUCUGUGUCCCUUGAAGAAACACCCAUCCAAACAUAUUACACGUAUACAACUCAUAUUCCAACCAUCCCUAAAAUCCUUCAAACACACAUAAAACAUUUGGAAAUAGUUCAUGACACUUGUAUUAACUUAUACUCCAACCUUGGAAGUGCUCAUUGGGUUAACCUAAGGAUUUAUGCAACAUAAUCUCAUACCCUUGCAUACUGUUCCUUUAACCUACCUUAUGUCACAUUUCUUGCCUUUCUCAUAUCCAUUUAACAUUUCCUCCUUAUAUACUUGGACUGAAAACCUUAUACGUACAUCUCCAUUCAUCUCAUUCAAUGUCAUAUUAGGCUUCCUAAUUAUAUCCUUCAGGUGAACAGUUGCAACUAACGAAACAUCAAAACUUAUAAUUCCUAGCGCAUUGAUGUAUGUAACAUAUGGAUUUAAUUUGAAUAUGUUUUAAAGGUCUUUGGUGCAAAAUCCCAAAAGGAGAAGUCUACAAGAUCAUCAUCGAAGGCCUCGUCCCUUACAUAAAAAAUUUCCGGCCUUUUGACUUUUUUAGCCCAGACGACAAAGCCAUUUGUUUAAGAUGAAAAUCAGAGGUGUUAGUGACACUAUGGAACUCGAUUAUGGAAGGUAACAACACAAAAUACAUCAAUUUCUCAUUAUCAUCCAUGCACUUUCCUAGUUCCAUGUAUUUCAACUUCAAAAUGGAAGCUUUUGAAUGCAACAAUGGUGUUAGAAACCAUUUUCAAAACCCUUUCCUUCCAAGACCAACUGUGUGAGGUCCUUUUUUAUGCAGACAUUUCUACUAAAAUAUGAUGUUGGAAAGUAUGGAGCGUAUUUUGGAAAGGAUUGUGUUGCAUAACAAUGGUGACUGAUGAGGAGUUUAACGUGUUCUUAACCGCCUAAGGAUUUGAUUUUGAAACAUCAUCUCAAUUAUUAUGGCUAAUUAGAAACGAAAAAUCCAUUUAGGACUAACUUAUAAUCGGAAUGUAAAACUUAUAACUUUUAUGAUAAUAACCAAACUUUGAAAUGCUAAAGACUUACCCUUUGGGACUAGAUUUAUGCAUUUUAAACUCAACGACAGGAUUAAAAUUGUGAUUACCUGAUGUGCGAAUUGUUGCUGUUCUUGCUCCACUAAUUAAAGGCCAUUAACGAAUUGGAUGAGUGAAUAGGUCCAAUGUCAUGUUGUCUCUUUGUAUAAUCAGCGAGAAGAUGCAAUUUAAAAAACGGAAAUGGAUCAAUCAAUAGUAUUUGACCAUUAAUGUGUGCACACUGCAUAACCAUCAUUUGUGUCCAUUGCGUAUAAUCCAUAGCAAAUCCUACUGCAGAUCUGGAAGAUGUCUCCAUGGAUUUUAUUACGCAUCAUCGUCUUCAAGACAAGGUGUAGUAAAUGGCUAUGGUCUAACCAGUUUUACCACUUCAAUGCGAUACUGCUUCAAUAUAUGCGUUAUUGUCGCAAAAACAGAGGAUAAUGAAUACUUACAGUGAAAACAAAUCAAAUUUUGGAAUCGGAUACAAUUAAAAAAAAAAACUUUUGGAUUCGAUCUGUGGGUUUAAAGAAAUGCAAUUGGUAAAAAAAACACAUGUGUUAGAUACGAAAUAAUGCACAAAUUUGAUCAAAAUCCGUACGUUUAAUUUCAAUACGAGCUCUUACAUGACAAAGUUGAAACAUUUUUAAGUCGAUCUGUCUUUACAAUGAGUAAAAUAAAACCCUAAACCCAAAAUCUAAGAACUGGUAAAUUUUGUUACAGCCUUCGUCCCCUCAGAAACAGCAUGCUUUGCCAACUCUCCGGGCAAAACCAACCUCACAGCGGUCUGAAUUUCUCUGGAAGUGAUCGUGGGCUUCUUGUUGUACCUCGCAAGUUUCGAAGAUUCCUGAGCAAGCUUCUCGAAGAUGUCGUUGAUGAACGAGUUCAUAAUCCCCAUGGCCUUGCUUGAGAUACCGAUGUCAGGAUGAACCUGCUUCAAAACCUUGAAGAUGUAGAUCUUGUAUGUCUCCACGUUCUUCUUGCUUCUCUUCUUCUUCUUAUCGGUGGCACCGGCGCCGGCUUCCUUGGGAAGCUUCUUUCCGGCCUUUGGCUUUUUCUCGGCAGGGGAUUUUUCAGCUACGGCGGCUUUCUUCUCCUCCGCUGGCUUCUUCUCGGCUGGCUUCUUCUCUGCUUUGGGCGCCAUUGAAGGGAUUUUGUUUUGUAAAGAGGGAAUUUGAUGUUUAAAGAGAAAGAGAGAGAUGGUUGAAACGUGAGAUGAUGAAAAUGAAGGAAGAAUUUGUUGUGUUUAUAUGAGGAUUGAGAGGCGUUGUCUGAUUGGUUGAUUUUAGAUGUCCCGGAUUGUGCAUAGAGACCGUUGAUAUGUUCUGGUCCAUGGUUUUGCUUCAAGGGACGUGAUUUAAUUUGAGAAGUGAGUUUUUGUUGGCUUGACGCACGACGCGGAUCAACAUUUUGGCCCAUAUCCUAUUUUUCUUUAAUUUUUUUUAGGAAAUUACAAUAUAUUUAUUUAUACUGUAUUAUAAAAUAAAUUUGCUUUUUUAAAAUAGAUUAAAUAUAUCCAUACCCGACCCUUUUAAAUAAAGGGUUAGCGGAUACGGGUCGUUAACGGGUAAACGGAUCAAAUAAAAAAUUAUGCUCCAAACUCGUAUAAUUGAUAAGGGUUUGGAUUGAAUCAGGAUCAAAAUCCGCUCCGUUGUCAGACCUAUGUGUUUGACUUGUCGGAUGGUCAAGGCCAACCACCAGAGGUCGCAUGGCAAGCUGCAGUCAUUGGAGGUUCUCAUGUGGAAAUGGAAACAUAUCACUAUGGAUUUCAUCACCAAGUUACCUCGAACGGCUAAUGGAUUCGACGCGAUAUGGUUUAUCGUUGACCGUGUGACCAAUAGCACUCGCUUUUUGUCCAUUCGAGAAAGUUUUGCGGCCGAAAAAAUAGUCGGUUUGUAUGUGCGCGAUAUUGUUGCUUGACAUGGUAUUCUAGUCUCCAUUGUAUCUGAUCGAGAUGUUCGGUUCACAUCUCGUUUUUGGAAGAAGUUCCACCAUGAACUGGGUACGCGAUUGCAUCUUAGCAUUGAGUAUCAUCCGCAAACUGAUCGAGAUGUUCGGUUCACAAUAAUCCAGUCAUACAUAACCUACAUAUUAGAACCAAAAUUGAUUAAUACAAUAAAUUUCAAUAGAUCGCUCAAGCUAACAAUCGAAACAACAAAGAAACAAAACAUAAUAGAUUAUGAUGACACCAACGAAUGUUGCACCAUACUAAACUGAAGAACUGAUAACUGAAACCCCCAAUUUGGGAAAUCCAUAUGUCUCAUACCGUCCAUCCAAAAACUGCCAAGCCAAAGGUGCCACAUCCAAAACCGCACUAUCUGCUCCUAACGGACAAGCAGAAUCAACAUGUUCUGGCUGACUGCAAAAUAAACAUACAUUCGACUUCCCCGACUAUAAUCGCGAUUAAAAUGACCCUCAUGAUCGCGCCUAAAACAUGCAGAAACAAAAACGCAUCAAAUAUCCCAAUGAAUCUGACCACACUCCCCAUACAACCUGUGGGUCUCUCGAUCUCCUGCCCGAAAGCCCGCCACCCCAGCCUUUUUGGUUGUCGUUGCAAAUGCAUGAACUUGAUCCUGCUUUCUCUUCUGUUGCUGAAUCUCCAACUACAACUCUCUCUCCCAGGCCGCCUCCACCAAACUAGAGAGAGUCUUAUGACUCGAGAUACACACACGUUCCCAAAUUGAGAUUUUAAUCAUCUUUAGUCAAGGAUAAGAAAUUAUAGUUUAUUUCAAUUCUAAAAGCUUAGAUUGAGAUUUUAAUCAUCUUUAGUCAAGGAUAUAUAUAUAUAUANNNNNNNNNNNNNNNNNNNNNNNNNNNNNNNNNNNNNNNNNNNNNNNNNNNNNNNNNNAUGAAUUUUAUGUUAGAAUGGCUCAACAUAAGGAAAUUCCAUAAAUAUUACGUUCUCAAAAUUCGAUUAUGAUUACGGCAUCCCUCUUCAUAGUCAAAUUAUGAAAACAUGGAAAAUAAAAAAAAAUAUUGUAGCAGAAGACUGGUCUAGGAUCAUGUCUUCAUGUGAGACAUCAUGAAUCGUGCCCCAUAUGCUUCGGAUAUAGGAUCGAUUACAUGUGCUAUAAUAUUUAUACCUUCUAAAUUUUCCAAAUGCCUAUGGCAUUAAGAGGGGCAAAGGUCUAGAAUUGGAUAUGACUAAAAUGAUUAAGCAAUUGUUGAGGAUAAUCUGAGGUUUACCAGAGAUUGGUUGCUCAUGGACAGUUGGAAGUAUGGUGUUAAAUUUUGGAGAGGAACCAUAUUGACAUGUUCUGAAAAGAGGCGACUCUUGUUUAGAAGUGAUAGUCAAAACGGGAAUAUGGAAAUGUUUUUCCAUAUUGGGAGUUGGAUAUUAAGAAACUAUGAGAAAGUUAGAAACUUUAAUUAAAGAAGGAUGUUCAAAGGAAUGUACUUUGAACUUGAGAUUUCGUCACCUUGGAAUUGUCGUGUAACAAUUUCCAGUUGAAUCUAUUGUAAUAGUGUUGGUCAAGUCUUUGUGACUCUUGGUGCCUAGACAUUACAUAACAAUAUUGCAUAAUAGUGUAUAAUCUAACACAUUUGAGCAGUGAUAAGAGUUUGGAAUUCUUACACUUACAAUAAAGAUUUGGUAUUGUGAAAUGAGCAUCAUUGGAAUCAUGUUCAAUUGAUAUAUUUCACAAAGUAAGGAUCGUAGACAAACAUAGUGUGCAUACUUGGAGUAUGGCAUAACUAUCGUUUACGAAAACAUGGUGUACAUGCUUGGAGCAUGGGACAACUGUUGUUUUAAUUCAAGUAUUAAGUUGAUUAUUUGAAACAUUAUGCAAUGAAUAAUGUGUAAUCAAUAUGGUGAUAAAUAAAAGGUGUUCUAUUUAUAUUCAUAAGUUUUGAGACCACAUUAGAUUCGAUUAUUCUUAUGUUUCCCUUUCAAUGUUUUGACUUCCAUAAUAGUUGGGUUAUUCUUUCCGGAUGACCAAGUUAUUUAAAUCCUCCACAGUCAGUCAUAUGUUGGAAGUAGGUAUGAAUCAAGAUUGUAAUGAAUUGGGCUUGUAGAUGUCUAAGAUGUUAGACAUAGUAAAAGUUGCUACAACAUUCAUGAGUGCUCAUAAGUUAUGAGUAUUGUAUUAAACCCACAAUCACUUGUAUCACUUCAUAGAAUUUAUCUCAAGUGACUGUAAGACGGUAAUAUCAUAUAAGUCUUCAAAACUAGAGAUACAAGUUGUUGCUUAUGAGUUGGUUGUACAUUGAUUGCGCGAAAACACAUCAUUAACUUGAUGUUAUAAAAUGUGUCUUUUGUAUAAAUAAACAAGUAGUAGAGCAAACAUAUGAGUCGAAGUUUAUCUGUUCCUUUUAGUCCUUGGAGGAUUAGAAGCGAUAUAUGGGCCCCUCGAUGAUUUUGUUUUGACCUAUGUAUCGGGCCCGGUCAGAACCAAAUUGAUGUGUUCAGUUUAGGUCUAUGUCAAACAAAUCGGAAAUCAGGAAACAAACUGCUGGACAAUAAGUAUGACGUUGUUCCAUGUAUUUGUCCGGCUGAUAUCUAGAACAGAGGAUUAUAUGAUCACUUAUCUAAAACGGCGCUUCGUAGUUCAAGAAAGUUUUAAGAGCUACGAUUCAUGGUCGGAUCCUGAAGUCAUGCUUGCAACCGUAGUUAUUAAAUUUAUCCAAGUGGGAGACUGUUGGAUAAAGUGUCUAAGUCCAUAACUAUAUUUGAGAUGUACUUGACCGACCCAACAUGGUCCAUUUGGGUUGCACUUCACCAUAACAAUUUGGAUAGUCUUUUGAGAAUAGUAUAGUUAUGAUUUGUUAAUAUAUUAUAAGUUAUAAUAUAUUAAUAUGAAAUCAUAUUAUUUAAUUAGUAUUGAUCUAUAAUUAAUUUGGAAUUAAUCUAGUGAUCAAAAGGUAACUAAUUAAAUAUGGACUCUUAUAUUUAUAUAAAGUGGGUUAAUGCUUGUUUAGAAUGGGUUAAGCUUGCUUGGAAAGUCCAUGGAUAGUCCAUGGAGCUUUAACCCAUGGAUCUUAUGGAAAUGAAAGGUCAUGGGUAUUAGGGUUUACAUGGAUGUAACCCUAAUCCACCACACUAUAUAAAUAGGUCCUUGGCACAUGAAAUGACACUAGUGUAACGCCCGUGUUUCUGGGCUUGCCAUUUUUAGCAAUGUAAUAGUCUAGUUAACCUUUGUAACCUAAUUUGAAAUAAUAAGAACAUAUCAUUUGAGUAUUAUGUGUUUCGUGCUUAAUUGCUUAAUUAUGUGAUAUGAUGAAUUAAGAAUAAAAUGAGCGUCAGAAUUUAAGUGUAAAAUAAACUUGAUAUCAUUGGAUAAUGUUGUAGUAGUUGAAACGAGGUUUCCGAAUAUAUAUAGAACUCCCAAAUCUGACUUCGUAUGAGGAAGUUAUGAUUUUCUGAAGUUUCGAUUGGGCAGUAUGCAGCUUGAAUACUCGAUUUGAGAUCGAGCGGUUUUUAGCCGAAACAAUCUAAACGAGAAUCGAAGAUCUCGUUGUUAGUAGCGAAACGAUGAAAAGUUAGGCAAGAACGGACGUCGGACGAAGAAGUUAUGAAUUUAUAACAAAGUUUUUCUGUCCCGGCCUACUAAAAAUAAAUAAUAAAAAUAAAGUCAAAAUUAGCCGACGGAGUCUAAACAAAAGUUGUAGAGCGUAGUCUCACCUACGCGUGGAUAUAAAGAACGUCGAAAAUGGAGUUCGUAUGAGGGAGAUAUGAAUUUUCAAAGUUUAUUAGAUAUUUAAUAUUUAAUUUUAAUUCAAACUUCCGAUAUUAUCCGAAGAGGAGUCAGCGGACUCAUCCGAAGUACGCCCAGCGUGACGAAGUCUAGCACUCGAGUACCUCCGAUGAUGCAGGCAAUGACGAUUUGGCAGUACGCCCCGCGUACCCCGAAGUUAUGCCCAGCGUAACCCCGAGGAUCAACCCUAUAAAAGGGGAUGCGAAGCCAGCUUCUUUCCUUUUCAAAUUUCUUCAUUUUUCUCUCAUCUUUUGCCUCGUUUUGCGUGUCGUUUAUGUUGGGUUUUGAGCAUUCUAACACUCCUAAGUGUACAUGCAACCCUAAAUACCUUGGAUCUAUGUUUUAUCUAUUAUACAUGCAAAUAUGAACAUCCAAGGUAUUAUCCUAAUCUAAGCUAUAAAACAUUGAAUAUAACAAGAUAGAAUACAUACCUAUUUGAUGUAGAAUGUCUUCAUGAAGCUUGAGUGCCUAGUGCCCCAAGUGUGACACCUCAAAUGGUUCACACAACACCGAAUACAAAUGGAAUGACUUGAGAGAACUUCACACUUCAUGAAAAUCGGCUAGCCCUUUCUUGCUCUCACUAGUGGCCGGUUUUGUCAAGAAUAAGAUAUUUAUAUAGAGUUACAAUUAGGGUAAACCCUAAUUGUCAUGACUUUCCAUUUCCUUGGAUCCAUGGGUACAAAUACACCAUGGAGCAUCCAUGGACCAUCCUAUGGGUUUUAGCCCAACUUGAUUAUCCAUGGAGCAUUAGCCCACUAUACAAGUAUGGAUGAUUUACACAAUCAACCCAUAUAUUUAAUUAGUCUUCUUUUGAUCACUUAAUUAAUCCUAGAUUAAUUCUUGAUCAAUACUAAUUAAAUAAUCUUAUUAUUCUUAUUAUUAAUAUACUAGAACUUAUAAUAUAUUAAUAACCAUAAGUGUAUUAUUUCUCCCAUUAUAGUCUAUCCAAGUGCAUGAUGCCAUGCAACCCAAAUGGACCAUGCCGGGUUGGCUCAAGUCUUACCAAUUAUAGUUAUGGACUUAGACAUUAAUCCAACAAUUUAUACCCCGAAGCCCCGAUAAUAUUCCCGAGCCCCGAAGCAAGAUCCGAAGCCCUGAGAAUCCCAAAGAGCGUUAUUCCCGAGCCGAAGCCCUGCCCGCGAGGAGCCCGGUUUUUGUGAAGAUCUUCCAGAUCUACGGAGAAACAUUACUUCUGCAAGCCGUAGUGCUGCCCGUUCAUCUUCUGAUCAAGUGAGUGUGUAGUCAUUUUCUUCCAUCACAAUAUUAUGAAGUAUUUUAUAUAAAAUACGUGCUACGUGUAUAUAUUUUGUUGUUAUAUGUGUGAAUGUAUAUUCACUUUCUUCUAUCUCAUAGAUCUGAUUUAUUAUCUAUGAAAUACGUGUUAUGUGUGUAUGCUUCAUCUGUUAUGUGGAAUAUGUAUUGAUUAAAGCAUGUUAUACAGGUUCUUAAACUAUGUAUAAAAAUGUAUAUUUUUAUCUACUAAUGUGUUGGGUAGAACAUGGGUAGAUAGUUGGUGUGUAAUAAACAGAUGAGAGGCCUCGAUGUUGUUGGUGUUAUUCUAGUCAUUCAGUAGAGUAUGGAUGACGAUCACGGACUAUUCUAGACUGUCCUGUGGAACACUAGCAGACUCAUAACCUGUAGGUGUUGUGAACGACGUGUUCACCGGUGUGCUCUAUCCCCCUCAUGGUUGCCUUUAGGAUAUUUAUUGCUAAGGAAUCCCCUUUGCAGUAAUGUCCGUCCCGAUGAAAAAUCCUAGAUUAGGUCCCUUAUAAUAGAUGUUGUUUUAGGGACGUAAAGUGAGGAUAACGGGAAUGGGUAAUCAGGUUUAUUGUUGAUUGUUAAAUUAAAUAUUUUUUGUGGGUUGAAAACCCUAUAUGCUCACCAGGCUCCCAAGCCUGACCCACUCAGCUUAUUUGUAUUACAGGAAGUGGCGCAAGAGCUUAAGAUGGACGAAUCAUCAAGUUGUUUUGUUUACAAGUCUGUAUAUGUAUACAUUGUUGAAUGACUUGUAAUGUUAUCGUUUAUGCUUUAUGAUUUGUAUCGGAACAUGACAUCCCGACUCUUGAUUAUGAAAUGAAAUCAUAUUCCUUGUGAAAUGUUUGGAUAAAUAUCUAUUUUAUCAUGUUUUGUUUUUGGGAACAAAUUCCGCAUCUCUUUCAAAAUUAAAAAGGAUUUACUCUGAAAAUGUUUAAAAAACAUAAAUGAAAUUGGUCUUUUUUGGCCGAGAUUUUGGAGAUGUCACAACUAGUGUGUGAGAAAAACCAAUGGUGGGCCGAUUUCUAAGUGUGCAUACUAUUCUAUCAAGUUUUCCAAGUUGUGUAGUGAUUUGUGAUUCCAUUUGAGGCAUCCACAUUAUUGGUGUUAGGAUCUCAAAACUCCAAGCAAUCAACCACAAGAAAAUGUAUGUUAUUCUACUAGUCUUUUAUGCUACAAGUACCCCUUGUCAUGUUAGUUAGGAUGAGAACUUUGGAAAAUUCUUAUUUGCAUGUAUUUUAGAAAAAAUAUAGAUUCAAGUUUUCUAGGGUUGCAUGUACAUCAUAGGAGUGUUAGAAUACUCAAAACCCAUGAUGUACAUCGUAAGUCCUGUAGUUAUAACCAGAGUCUCCUGGAGGGAGAGCGAGAUAUUAUGUAUAGAUCUAUACGGGGUUGACAUCCCCCACGCCUGAGUUGUUCGCUACAACUAGGCAGGCCAAUUUAGGGUGACAAUUAUCUUUAGAAACUGACGCCUGAAGAACGUCAAGACAGGCGCUCUCGUCACAUUAGUAUGGUUUCAACAACUCACAUAGAGAAUAACAAUAUUAUUUUAAAAUUUACACAAAACAUACACUCAACAUGUUUUACAAAGUAUAAAACUAUGUGCUGACUAUUUUGCAUUAAUCUCACCACUUUGGUCUUAGGGUUUUAAGGCCACAAUAUUUCGUAUAACAGAAAAUAUAGGAUUUUCUGUAGACACUCUCUAUAAAAUUUUCAAACAAGGUAAAGAAAGUAUACACAUGAUUUGGAACAAGACUCUCAAACUAUUAUUACAAAAAAUACUGGAGUUUCUGGAAUUUACAAACUAUUACAAAGUUUUUCUUACAAAAAUGCUUAUGAACUCACCAACAUUUUAUAUGUUGACGCUUUUCAAAAUGACUUGUAUUCUCAGGAACACAGUGAGCAGGUUUUUCAGCAGUGGACAUUGACAUUUGUCUUAUUUUUGGAUUAUCAUACAUUAUGUUAUUUUGGAUGUAUUUCCAUGAACAAACACAAAGAUGUAAACAAUGCAUGUUGAUAUCGUUAAUGUAUGAUGAUGAUGGUUGCUAUGUUUCAUUCAUAUUCAAUUGUUAUGAUAUUACAAGAUGAAGUCACCCGCCCCCGGACGUUGUCGCCGUCCCGGUUCGGGGGUGUGACAUUGUAAAGGAAAACCCUAAUUUUUAGGGGCUGCACCCUAUUUAAAUAACAUAAUCCGCCUCUUGUGGACUCCCUUACCACCCUGAUAGCCAUAGAAAACCCUAAUUAGACCUUGCACCUUCUUGAGUGAGAGAAAGAGCUUUUGUGAGCAUUUUUGGUGUGUUUGUGAAAGAUUUCAAAGCCUGGAGAAGAAGGAGCAAGGAGAGAAGCAAUAGAUCCGACAUCUACACUGUAUUGGCCACCAUCGUGAGGUAUAAAGUCGUUACCUUGAGCUCUAGUUGGUUAGAUCCCUUUUCUUGGAAGUAGAUGGCCAUUUUUGGUGCAAAGUAGGGUCAUACUCGAAUCUGGACUUAUCAAAAGGAUAUGGUUCCAGAUAUGGACCUCUAAAGGUCCCUAAUGACAUAAAGUUGCUCACUUUAUCUGGCUUAGGCCUAUCCAUGCACAAGAACAUUGUAAGAAGCUUAGUUUUGAUGCUUUAGCCUUGUAAGGCCUUGCAUUCACGUAAAGUUUGCAACUUUACGUGGUAACUACACUAGGGAAUAGUGGAUCUGGAGUUUGGGACCUUAGAUCCCAUUGAAAAGGGCUGAACACAAAAGGGACUGAAGGAACUCGUCAAGUCCCUUAGUUGACUCGACGAGUUGGGUAGGGUUUACCCGUUUUUUAGAUUCAGAAUGAGUGCAGUGAAGGAUUAGGGUUUGGGGACUGCAUGAGCUUUUAGUUUAGUGGACAUUUGAUGAACUCAAUGAGUCACUUAGGUGACUCGACGAGUUAACAUAGGAUUUAGUGGAAUGGACUCGGAUGAACUCGACGAGUUGCUAGGAUGCACUCAACGAGUUGAGGUCAACAUGAAUUGUUGACCUUAACCGUUGACCUUGACUUUGACCACGGUUGACUUUAAAAGUAUUUACGGGAUUAUGACAAGUUAAUCAUAUGUUGAUUAUAGGCAGUUGAAGAGGAGGAGUGCGUGAGAUAUAUCUGAUCUUAGCUUGUCAGUUCAGCACUCGAGAGGCGAGUCUCCUCACCAUAUCAAUAGAUCUAAGGCACCAAGGGCGGUCUAUUAUUGUUAUGAGUUAUGAUUAGUUGGUUGUGGGAUAUGUGAUAUGCUAGUUAUUUGUGAUACUCACAUGAAAGACCUCGAGGUGUUCCCAAGGCACUUAUAUGUAAUACCUUAAAGGGUUUCCAUGGCCUUCUAGUAUAUUUGUUUGUGUAGUUUGUAUGUUCGUACUCGAUUGUAAAGACCGUGUGGGGGUUCCUACGAUAGGAAGACCAUGUGGGGGUUCUCAUGGCAGUUAGUUAAGACCAUGUGGGGGUUUCCAUGGCAGUUAGUUAAGACCACGUAGGGAUUCCAGUGGCACUAGGUGUAAGACCCUAGAGGGUUUCCAUGGCUUCCUUAUAUGUUCGUAUUCAUGGCUUAUAUAUGUAGCUUUUAUAGCUAAUAUGAUAUGUGUUAUGUGGAUUGUGUGUGAGGUAUGCUCUCGGGAACUCACUAAGCAUUAGCUUACAGUUUUUGGAUUUGUUUCAGGUACAUCCGAGCCAAAGGGCAAGGGCAAGGCUUGAUGGCGCGACGUGCACUCUCUCUCAGGCGUUAUUAUGGGACACUCUAAUGUUUUGAAAUAAAAUUGUUGUUAUCACGAAUUUGAAAACAAUUGUAUUGGGAUUUCAGGAUUUGUGGAAAGUAUUUUGGUAAAUUAAAAAUGAAAAUUUUCUUUUGAAAAAUUGGGUUGUUACAUAUUACAUAGUUAGUUGAUGUAAACCUGAGCUUAGCAUGGGACUCUUAACACUCUCCCACUUCGUGCUUCAUUUUUUUCCAACGGAUAUAUGGAUCGUAAACCCUAUACUCUACACUCACUUUAACAAUAUUUCCUCCAUCGAUGUGAUCAUGAAAUGAGUCAUGGACACCAUUUUUGUUAUCAACAUUUCCCAUUCCAUAAAAAGUCCUACUUAAUAUAUUUUCAUCAUAUAUUAUGUUAACGACUGGUUCAUUGUAGAGUUUUAAAUAAUUUUUAAAGGUAUCUUGUGUAAAAUCCCCGAAUGAGAAGUCUACAAUAUCAUCAUCAAAGUCCUCGUCCCUUACAUAAAUAUUUUCAGAACCUUUGACUUUUUUAGCCCAAAUGAAAAAAUAAAGGUGUUAGUGACACUACAAAACUCGAUUAUGGAAGGUAACAACAUGCAAACACAUCAAUUUCUCAUUAUCGUCUAUGUACCUUUAUAGUGCAAUGUAUUUCAACUUCAAAAUGGAAGAUUUUACAUGCAACAAUGGUGUUAUAAACCAUUUUCAAAACCCUCGUCUUCCCGAUAUCAACUGCAUGAUGUCCUUUUUAAUGCAAAUGCUUAUGCUAAAAGACAAUGUUGAAGAGUACGAAGCAUAUUUUGAAAAUGAUUGUAGUGUAUAACACUCGUGACCAAUGAGGAGUUUAAUUUGUUCUUAACCGGCUAAGGAUUUGAUCAUCAUCUUAAUUAUUAAGGCUAAUUAGAAACAAAAAAUUCAUUUAUGACUGAUUUCUAAUCGCAAUGUAAAGCUUAUAAUUUUUAAGAAAAAACGGCAAGAUUGGUCUCUCUGGUAUUCAAAAAACAUCAAAAAUGUUUUCCGCUUGUAUAGAAAGUCCAAAAUCAAGAUUUUCAUAUGGUUUUGGUCCCAGUAAAAUUGAAAAGAACAAUUAUGCCCUUUCUAAUUUAUGUUUUCCAUUUUUUAUCUUUAUGUUAAUACUUUUUUAAUUUAAAAAAAAGGGAACCAGCUAACCCACCCAUCUCUCUCUCGUGUGUGUGUGUGUGUUUGUAUCUAAAUGGGUGCUCCUAAAACCAUUAGAACACAUCAAGCUUUUCAUCUCCCUUCCCUCCCUCUCACCAGAAAAACUUUAAUUAUGAGUUAAUAAGAAGCACUUUAAUGGUGUUAUCUAAGUUAUAGAGGAAAUAAAUAUGUGAUUGUUGAUUUGUUUUCUUCUGUUUCGUAUUUGUUCUGGAGUCCGAUAAUCAAAGGCAUCUGUGUGUAUGUCUAUGUUUUAAUCUACUGUAUGUAUGUGUGUGUUAAAUACAGUCGAUUGAUCCCCUUAAUCAGAGGGUGCCUAGUCGAUUUAUCCCAUAAUUUGAACCCUAAAACGCAAUUUCCUCCAAGACUUAUUUGGUUUGUGGGCAAGCUAAAGGGGGUGCUGAGAAGUGAUAUCCAUGAAUGCUUCUGCAAAAACAAUUCCUUCGCCAUUAUAAUCAACCGGAAGAGAAUCUAUGGAACUUUUGAUCACCGAUAUUGGAGAGAUAAAGAAUGUGAUUUGGGGUGGGGUGGGGCUGUUGGGUUUGAUCAAACUUGACUACUUCUGUGAUACUUGAUAACACCCGAUUCCCUUUCAACAACCCACCACCCCAUUAUCUUACCCACAAAUGGAUUUAAAGAAACCUCGAUACUGAAUAGAUUCACUCUCGAAGAAACCCAAAUUGAUUAUGUUCGAAAGGAUACCACAUACCAGACCCAUUUAGAAGUCGGUGCUUCCUCAAAUAUUGUUGUAUUUGACCAAUUCGAUUGGUGGGUGCAGUUUUGUAUCUUUGAUUCAUAUAUUACAUGGGUUUCCUUUCUUUUGGAGAAUCGUGGUGGAUGCCAAAAAAAAACCGGAAUGGAUCAAUCAACAGUAUUUGAUCAUGAAUGUGUGCAUAACUAUCAUUUGGCUCCAUGGCGAAUUGCAUCGGUGUAUAAGUAAAUGCUUUCGUUUAACCAGCAUUGCAAUUUCAUUCAGAUGCUACUUCAAAGGAUGCGCUAUUGUUGAAAAGACAGAGAUCGGUUAACAGUUACAGUGAAAACUGAUCAGAUUUCGGAAUCGGAUACAAUCGAAAAGGAGAAAACCUAUGAAUUCGAACUGUGGGUUUAAAGAAAUGCAAUCGGUAAACAAUACAUGUUUUAGGUACAAAAUAAUGAACAAACGUGGGCAAAAUCAAUACGUUUAAUUUCAAUACGAGCUAUUACAUGACAAAGAUAACAUUUUUAAGUCGAUCUCUCUUUACAAUGAGUAAAAUAAAACCCUAAACCCAAAAUCUAAGAACUGGUAAAUUUUGUUACAGCUUUCGUUCCCUCAGAAACAGCAUGCUUUGCCAACUCUCCAGGCAAAACCAAUCUCACCGCCGUCUGAAUUUCCCUGGAGGUGAUCGUGGGCUUCUUGUUGUACCUCGCAAGUUUCGAAGAUUCCUGAGCAAGCUUCUCGAAGAUGUCGUUGAUGAACGAGUUCAUAAUCCCCAUGGCCUUGCUUGAGAUACCGAUGUCAGGAUGAACCUGCUUCAAAACCUUGAAGAUGUAGAUCUUGUAUGUCUCCACGUUCUUCUUGCUUCUCUUCUUCUUCUUAUCGGUGGCACCGGCGCCGGCUUCCUUGGGAAGCUUCUUUCCGGCCUUUGGCUUUUUCUCGGCAGGGGAUUUUUCAGCUACGGCGGUUUUCUUCUCCUCCGCUGGCUUCUUCUCAGCUGGCUUCUUCUCUGCUUUAGGCGCCAUUGAAGGGACUUUUGUUUUGUAGAGAGGGAAUUUGAUGUUUAAAAAGAAAGAGAGAGAUGGCUGAUACGUUGAGAAGAUGAAAAUGAAAGACGAAUUUGUUGUGUUUAUAUGAGGAUUGAGAGGCGUUGUCUGAUUGGUUGAUUUUAGAUGUCCCGGAUUGUGCAUAGAGACCGUUGAUAUCUGGUCUUGAUUUUUUUUUUUUCAGCGGACGUGAUUUAAUUUGCGAAAUGACACGGAUCAACAUAUUGGCGCAUGUAUUGUAUAAGACGACUCGGUGUGGGCCUCGACGAGAAGCGACGCGACCCACGUGGCACUCCACAACGCCGUCAUAACGCGGUGAACACCCCCCCCCCCUACUCGUUGCUUCUCGUCGCCCGGAACUCGUUGUCUUGGAAACGAGUUAUAACGCCAAAAGAAAUAUACGUUGCGGAGUUUUUUACCGUUUAAUAACGGUCUAUUUCAAAAAAAAAAAAAAUUACCUUUUUACCAUUUAUAUAUAUAUACAUGCAUUUUAUUUCAAAUUUUAUAUACUUUUAUCUCAUUCUCUCUAUAUCUUUAUACACAUUUUCUCUCAUUCUCUCUAUAUCUAUAUCUUUAAUUCAAAAAAUGGAGCAAAACCCAAACACCCCCCCUCCAUCAUCAAACUCAAACACAACCUCGCCUCUCGGAUUUGCGGGGUACGAAAAUUAUUUUAACCUUUUGUCGUCUCAAGGUUCACCACAAAUACCAUACCAAGGUGCCGCUUUCAAUCCCGCUUCACCGCCACUGCAAUUUCCCAACUCACCUUACGUUCAACAAAAUCAAUUUGGUCAAAACCCAAAUUUACAACAAAAUCUUUUCUCUACUUUUGGUUCGAUGCAACAAACAACCAAUCAACCGUCGCCUACAACACAACCAACAGUUCAAGUGGAAGCAGGAAGUAGUAGGAAAGGGAAAGGGAAAGGAAAAUCAAAAGGGAAAUCAAUAGCGGUGGAAUCUGAAAAUGCAGACGUUCCACAAUGGUGGACACCGGAGGAGGAAUACGCUUUGACGGCGGCUUGGUGUGCUACUUCAAAGGACGAACUUCGCGGAAAUGGAAUAAAAAAGGAGCUUAUUGGGGGCGGUGCUCGACAAGUUUCACGCUAUUUUAAGGAAAAAUCUGUAUCGCAACGACAUGUUGAGCAGCAAAUGGGGUAUGAUAACUAAGCGGUGCAGCAAAUUCAACGGUAUUUACAACCGGAUUGCGACGUAACAACAAAGUGGAACCAACGAGUUUGAUUUGUUCAAAGCUGUAGGGAACAAUAUCGGGUCGAAAUUGGUCAUGUUUUCGACUUUGAAAAAUCAUGGGAAUUGUUGCGAGCGGAUCCAAAGUGGAAUAAAACGCCUACAUCGUCGGAGGUUCAAUCCAAAAGGUCUCGUAACUCUAGUUCGGUCGACGUGUCGGACGCACGGACUAACAUCGACCUAAACGCCGAUGACGAUGAGAUCCAGGAUGAUAUCCAAAAGAUAUCCCCACCACGACGACCGCCCGGACGCGACAAAGCGAGGCGCGCUGCAAGACAUGCGGAGGAGGUGGAGACGAGAGCAAAAGAUGCGGCGGAAAUGAGAGCGAAUGUAACAGCCCAGAAUCUCAGGUAUUGUCAAAUUAUGUUUUUGGGGUGAUUUAAGAGGGGACUCGGCGACUUGGAGCCUAGACUCGCCGAGUAGGAUCGCAGACUUGGUCGCGGGUUCGCGACUGGACUCGACGAGUCCAGAUAUGGACUCGGCGAGUCUACGCUGUUUAGCGAAAACCCUAACCGUUCAGGUUUGGGACGUAUAAAAAGGACUCAUUGGCCGUCAUUGUUCAUUUUAGCCUUCUGAGAAGAACCCUAAAUCGAUUGUGUGCAUCUGGAGCAAGGAUUAUAGGCCAUUGUUGAUCAUAGAAGAGUUGUUGUGCAAGGAAGAGAAGAGAUUGGCUAGAGGAACAGCAAGGGAGUCACAUUCUGAGGAUUGGGGACACAGAGAAUACAUCAUCCAGGUAAGAAUUCGAGUAUACUCUGCUAUAUUGAUGUAUUUAUGGAUUUAGGGUUUAUGGAACCCUUUUGUGAUUAGAUUGAAUGUUACCCUAGUCCCCUAAACGAGUGUAACCCUGUAUUGAGACCUUUGGGAGGUCCAGAAUGUCCCAUGUCUGUGCAUUUCGGGAAUUGAUGAAGGUUUUGGAUUGGAAUCCUUAUGCCUUAGGUCAAAAUGUAAAUUAUGAAUCAUAUGGUGUAUCAUGAGCACUGAAAUGAGGACUUUACGUGAUGGAUCAGCCUAGGAAGGCCAGACCUAGGAAUGGUCGAAGCAGUUCUGACCUUAGGAUGCAGUUUGAGCGGUUGCAUGGCAUGGACUCGCCGAGUUCGAUGAACAGACUCGGCGAGUAGCUUGAAGAUUAACUGGGACUCGUCGAGUUGUUCUUCAGACUCGGCGAGUUGAGUCGGGGUGGCCCCGCGAUUCUUCCAGGAGUAACUCGUCGGGUCAAGGAGGAUACUCGACGAGUAGAUAGGGAAUCUCAGAGAGUUGGAGGACGUCUAGACUCGCCGAGUCGCCAUGGCACUCGCCGAGUCCGGUCGAGUUGACCGUUGACCGUUGACCGUUGACCAGAGUUGACCUAAGUCUGACUUCUUAGGGAUAGUCACACUUAGAAGAUAUAAGUGUUAAUGAGAGAUAUGUGAUGUUAUAGGGAGGUUGUAGCUCGUCGGAUUGUGCACGAGUGAUUUCAGGAUUUGCUAGCUUUCAGCAUUCACGAGGUGAGUCUUCUCACUAUACUGUACCCGGAAGGGUUUGACUGUGUGACCGGAAGGUCAGAUAUGAUAUGUGAUAUGUAUGCUAUAUGUGGUAAGUUAUUUGUUAUAUGUGCUAUGUAUGUUAUGUGGGCCGGAAGGCAAUAUGUUAUGGGCCGGAAGGCGAUUAUGUUAUGGGCCGGAAGGCGUUGUGUUGAGGACCGGAAGGUCAGGGCCUGGAAAGGCGUAUGUGCGUAAGUUGUAUAUUGGGGAACUCACUAAGCAUUUAUGCUUACAGUUGUUAUGUAUGUGUUUCAGGUACUAGCGAGGACCGUGGGAAGGCGCCGGCGUGAUCGAUACACACUGAAGGAUGUUUUUAUGAUCUUGGGAUUUAGACAAUUUGUAUUUGACAUGACACUUAAAUUAUUUAUGCCUUGUUUUGAAUGGAAAUACUUUAUUUUUAAAAUGAAAAAUUUGUUUGAAAAUUUGCGUUGUUACAAUUGGUAUCAGAGCCUUGGUUUGAGGGAUUCGGGUGCACCUUCGGGAGUAACUGAACUCAAACCGAGGAUUUGAGGAAAACUUUUUAAAUAAAGGCAUAAACUUUUGUAAAUGGUUUUGUGGUAAGCAAGAAAGAAGCAGUGUGUACGAUCAGUCAGCGCCCGAACGGUAAAGAUCCCCAAAAUACCUUACAAUAUUAUAUGAUAUGAAUUGUUAUGCAUGCUAGAAGACUAGGUAUUCAUGAUAGGACUAGAGUGGCCUGAUUUGUGAUGCCUUAGUCUAGGGAAGUUUGCCGAUAUGAGAUGCUUUGCUAGUGUGCGGGUAGAUAGUGCAUAACAGAAGUAGAGUACUCACUAUCCGGGGUUUGGGGAGGAAGACUUGGGAUGAAUGCUGAUGCGGUGUGGUCGGUAGUAUUGGGCCCGUACUACCGAAGACACCGGGUCAGUGGGAGACCCAAGUAAGAAUCCCUGGAUAUCGGAGACUGAGUAGGGUUGCGUUAUCGAGUGCGAUUAUACUCGAUGGAGUCUCUGAUAGUUUUAUGUUGUAUUUCAGAGACAUCAUGGUUAGACCACGCCACGGAGCGAGUUCGAGCGGUGUGAGUGACGAGGAGAUUCGUCAGAUGAUUCACGAGGAGGUAGCUGCGGCGAUCCGGGCUGAGAUCCCGGAGAUGUUUGGGUCUAUUAAGACCACCCUGAUGGAGACGUUUGAGGAGCGGUACGCCGCAUUGACUGAGGCUGCAACCGCUGCAGCUACCGCAGCUGUGGCCGCUGCUAGGCCACAGGGGGGUGACUCGUUGCUGUUCCGAGAGUUCAGCAACACGAAGCCACCAGAGUUCGAUGGGACGCAGGAUCCGAUUGCUGCGAUGAGGUGGAUCGCGGAUAUAGAGGGGUGCUUCUACACUUGUUCAUGCCCGGAGCACCUGAGGGUACGGUUCGCUUUGAACCAGCUCCGUCUGGGAGCGAAGGACUGGUGGAAGUUCGUGACGGCGAACUUCACUUUGGCAGAGAUUACAGCAGUGACAUGGGAGGGGUUUACUGCUAUGUUCAGGGACGAGUACGUUCCCCCGGUGGAGAGGGAACGAUUGGUUCAGGAGUUCUUAACCCUCAAGCAGGGUACUGAUUCUGUUGCGGUGAUCACGCGGAAGUUUCAUGAGAGGGCGAUGUUCUGCCCCGAGCUGGUGUCCACUGAUCAGGCUCGGAUGAGCCGGUACUUGGGAGUGUUGAGGAGGGAUAUCCGGGAGUUUGUGUCAAACUCCACUUACCAUACUUUUGCUGAGCUUCAGGCGAAUGCCAGGAAGCGCGAGAUCGAGUUGGAGACCCAGGCCAGGGAGGAGGCCGAGUCUCAGCGGGUGGACCGGCGGCCGGCUCAGUUUCAGCCGGCAGCCAAGCGGACUAAGUCCGCUGAUUCGAGGACAGGAGGUUCGAAGGGUCGCACUUGCGGGAAGUGCGGCAAGAGUCAUGAUGGAGUAUGUCGAUCUGGUGCUUGCUACAAGUGUGGCAAGGAGGGGCACAUUGCUAGGGAGUGCCCCAAGGGAUUUACGGUUUGCUUUCAUUGCAACCAGACUGGCCAUAGGAAGGCCGAGUGCCCUCAGCUUCUUCAGGGAUCUGCACCUGCUGCCGGAGUUACUGCGACUCGACCGGUGAAGGCCGAGGCCCCGAGGGCUCGGGGAAGAGCCUUUCAGCUGACUGCGGAAGAGGUCCGCGCUGCGCCCGAUGUUGUGGCAGGUAUGUUGUAAUUCAUGUAAUUAUUUUAAUGUCGAUAUGUUAUGCUUAUGUUAUUAUGCGCGUAGGUACUUUCCUGGUGAACUCUGUGCCUGCCUUAGUGUUAUUUGACUCGGGUGCGAGUAGGUCCUUUGUGUCCUUAGCCUUUAGUCAGCAUAUCAGCGUUAGUCGUGAGUCGUUGAGUCGACCUUUGAGAGUUUCUAUAGCUGACGAGAAAGUGAUUUGUGCCACGGAGGUUCUUCGGGGAUGUGUACUAGAGAUUUUCGGGGUUGAAUUCCCGAUUGACCUGAUUCCUAUUGCGAUGGGUGAUGUCUGUGUCAUCGUGGGCAUGGACUGGUUGAGCCGAUUCGGCGCUGUCAUCGACUGUGAGCGUCAGUUGGUGACUAUACGAGACCCUAGAGGGGGAGUUCUUUCGGUGUACGGCGAGGGUACCCGUUCGGGAUCAGCUUUUUGUUCGGCCGCUAGGGCGAGGCAGUGUCUACAGCAGGGCUGUAAGGGUUUUGUGGCGUAUGUGAUGGAUACGCGGGAGGUUUCCGAGAGACCGAAGUCAGUUGAGGAGGUCCCUGUGGUGCGUGAGUUUCCAGAUGUUUUCCCCGAGGAGCUGCCGGGAGUACCUCCUGUGAGGCAAGUAGAGUUUGGUAUCGAUCUGGUUCCGGGGGCCGCGCCUAUUGCUAAAGUGCCUUAUCGUCUUGCACCUCCAGAGAUGCAAGAGUUGUCCUCGCAACUCCAGGAGUUGCUGGGAAAGGGAUUCAUUCGGCCGAGCAGCUCGCCAUGGGGAGCACCUAUUCUGUUCGUCAAGAAGAAGGAUGGUUCACACCGGAUGUGCAUUGAUUACCGGGAGUUGAACAAGCUAACGGUCAAGAACCGUUACCCGUUGCCGAGGAUCGAUGAUUUAUUCGAUCAGUUGCAGGGAGCAUCUUGGUUUUCCAAGAUCGAUCUGAGGUCAGGGUACCAUCAGGUGAGAGUACGGGAUGAAGACGUCCAGAAGACAGCGUUUAGGACGCGAUAUGGACAUUAUGAGUUUGUGGUGAUGCCUUUUGGACUCACCAAUGCCCCGGCUGUGUUCAUGGAUCUCAUGAACAGGGUAUGCAGGCCGAUGUUGGAUCGGUCAGUGAUCGUAUUUAUCGACGACAUUCUGGUGUAUUCGAGAUCGAGAGAGCAGCAUGAGGAGCAUUUGAGGGAGGUCCUUGAGGUAUUGAGGUCGGAGAAACUUUAUGCAAAGUUCUCCAAAUGUGACUUCUGGUUGCGGGAGGUCCAAUUUCUAGGACAUGUGGUUAAUCAGAAAGGGAUAUUGGUCGAUCCGGCCAAGGUUGAGGCGGUGAUGAGUUGGGAGGUGCCGAAGUCACCCUCUGAGAUCAGAAGUUUCCUUGGGUUGGCAGGGUAUUAUCGGAGAUUUAUCAAGGAUUUCUCCAAGAUCGCAGUGCCACUCACCAGAUUGACCCGGAAGGGUGUUACGUUCUCAUGGGGGCCCGAGCAGCAGACCUCCUUUGAGACACUUCGCCAGAGAUUGUGCGAAGCCCCGGUAUUAGCUCUCCCAGAAGGGAUGGAAGAUUUCGUGGUAUAUUGCGACGCAUCGAUUUCGGGAUUGGGUGCAGUGUUGAUGCAGAGGGGUCAUGUGAUAGCUUAUGCGUCGAGGCAGCUGAAGCCUCAUGAGGCGAGAUAUCCCACGCAUGAUUUAGAGUUGGGGGCAGUAGUGUUCGCUCUCAAGAUUUGGCGUCACUACUUGUAUGGGGUUCGAUGUACGAUAUACACGGACCAUAAGAGUUUGAAGUAUUUGAUGGAUCAACCCAACCUAAAUAUGCGUCAGAGGAGGUGGUUGGAUGUGGUCAAGGAUUAUGAUUGUGAGAUCCUGUACCACCCAGGCAAGGCUAAUGUGGUAGCCGAUGCAUUGAGUCGCAGGGCGGAGAGCACUCCAUUGCGAGAUGUAUGCUUGAGACUGACUGUGAUGACUCCAGUAUUGGACGCUAUUCGUGGGGCCCAGGCAGAGGCUGUGCGACCAGAAAUGCAGAAGAAAGAGCGGGUUGUGGGGUUAAUCUCAGAGUUUGUCAAGGAUAGUCGAGGCCUUAUGACGUUUCAGGGUCGGAUUUGGGUACCGUUCGUGGGCGGUACGCGUAUUACGUUGAUGGAAGAGGCUCAUAGAUCGAAAUUCUCGAUCCAUCCCGGUGCUACAAAGAUGUAUUUGGAUUUAAGGAAGGAAUAUUGGUGGCCCUGUAUGAAGAGGGACGUGGCAUGGUUCGUUGAGAGGUGCUUGACCUGCCGUAGGGUUAAGGCUGAGCACCAGAGACCGCAUGGCAAGUUACAGCCAUUGGAGAUCCCCGAGUGGAAGUGGGAACAGAUCACUAUGGAUUUUAUCACCAAAUUGCCAAGGACUGCUAGGGGAGUUGACGCAAUUUGGGUGAUCGUGGAUAGGUUGACAAAGAGUGCACACUUCCUUGCCAUCAGUGAGAGUUCUUCGGCGGAGAAAUUGGCGGAGAUAUACGUGAGAGAGGUGGUAUCUCGGCACGGGGUGCCGAUCUCGAUUGUGUCAGACCGUGAUGUGCGCUUUACUUCCAGAUUCUGGAAGAAAUUCCAUGAGGAGCUGGGUACUAAAUUGCAUUUUAGUACCGCAUACCAUCCCCAGACAGACGGUCAGAGCGAGCGGACAAUUCAGACGCUGGAGGACAUGCUCCGAGCGUGUGUGUUAGACUUCGGGGGUAGUUGGGAUGCGUAUUUACCAUUGGCAGAGUUCUCCUACAACAACAGCCAUCAUUCGAGCAUUGGUAUGCCACCUUUCGAGCUGUUGUAUGGUAGGAGGUGUCGGACCCCCAUUUGCUGGGGAGAGGUGGGACAGAGAGUGAUGGGCAGCACGGAGAUCGUGCUCCAGACGACAGAGCAGAUUCAGCGAGUGAGACAAAGGUUAUUGACUGCCCAGAGCCGACAGAAGAGUUAUGCAGACAGGCGCCGAUCCGAGCUUGAAUUUCAGGUCGGCGACUUCGUUCUCCUGAAGGUCUCUCCUUGG
rnacentral:lncRNA from 1 species